GGGAAAGUGGUUCAGUGGUAGAACACUUGCCUUGCAUGCAAGAGGCCUGGGUUCUAUUCCUCAGCACCA
rnacentral:tRNA from 1 species